rnacentral:rRNA from 1 species
UACGGAGGGUGCGAGCGUUAAUCGGAAUAACUGGGCGUAAAGGGCACGCAGGCGGACUUUUAAGUGAGGUGUGAAAGCCCCGGGCUUAACCUGGGAAUUGCAUUUCAGACUGGGGGUCUAGAGUACUUUAGGGAGGGGUAGAAUUCCACGUGUAGCGGUGAAAUGCGUAGAGAUGUGGAGGAAUACCGAAGGCGAAGGCAGCCCCUUGGGAAUGUACUGACGCUCAUGUGCGAAAGCGUGGGGAGCAAACA